GAGUAAAUAAAACAUUCUUUUUUAAAUUAAAGAAGUACUAAAUUCUGUAUUCAGCAGUGAGUAAUUCCAGUCACUACUCCCACUACAGCUAGUAAGUCAGCCCCACGCAAAUGAACUUAUGACCACAAAAAAUGGAAGGCUUGAGCUCUCUGAAAAUAGAGAGGAUAAAAGAUCGAGAUCAUUUCUAAACUCAAAAGGAUAGGUGAGGUGACUAUCUUGCUUUCUAUUUUGCUUGAGCUCUCUCAAAAUAGAGAGGAUAAAAGAUCGAGAUCAUUUCUAAACUCAAAAGGACAGGUGAGGUGACUAUUUUGCUUUCUUUUU
rnacentral:lncRNA from 1 species